GACAGAGGAUGCAAGCGUUAUCCGGAAUGAUUGGGCGUAAAGCGUCUGUAGGUGGCUUUUCAAGUCUGCCGUCAAAUCCCAGGGCUCAACCCUGGACAGGCAGUGGAAACUAACAAGCUGGAGUACGGUAGGGGCAGAGGGAAUUUCCGGUGGAGCGGUGAAAUGCAUUGAGAUCGGAAAGAACACCAACGACAAAAGCACUCUGCUGGGCCGACACUGACACUAAGAGACGAAAGCUAGGGGAGCAAAUGGGG
rnacentral:rRNA from 1 species